rnacentral:rRNA from 1 species
UACGAAGGGGGCUAGCGUUGCUCGGAUUGACUGGGCGUAAAGGGCGCGUAGGCGGCGGACACAGUCAGGCGUGAAAUUCCUGGGCUCAACCUGGGGGCUGCGUUUGAUACAUGUUCGCUUGAGUUCGGAAGAGGGUCGUGGAAUUCCCAGUGUAGAGGUGAAAUUCGUAGAUAUUGGGAAGAACACCGGUGGCGAAGGCGGCGACCUGGUCCGAUACUGACGCUGAGGCGCGAAAGCGUGGGGAGCAAACAGG